rnacentral:lncRNA from 1 species
UCGAUUGAAACUUUUGUUUAAACAAAAAGGGCCUAAUAAGUAAUAAGGGUGUAGAGUUUGUUUUAGUUUCGUCUUUUUUCUUUUCAUGUUGUGUGUGGUUGACCUUUUUUCUUGUGCUGCAUCUCUCGGGUUUGAGUAGCAGGAUAUGUAAGGUUUUUUUUUUUUCAUUUAUAAAAUCUAAUUUUAUAUUAUCAUUGUUGAUCAAGAGUUCAUAAUUCAGUUUGUUAUAUAUUUUUAAAAUAAAAUAUUUUGUUGACGGAAUGAAUUCACAAUAAAAUAAAAUAGUUAAUUUUUUGCCAAAAAG